AAGAAAGAAGGCUCUCGGGGUUCAGCAAAGGGAACGCCAAUAAGAAGCAGAGUGGUCACGUAAUGUGAUGCUUUUUGGCAAAUGCACAAAAACGAGGGGGAGAGACCUGCCCACAAAGAAGCACUUCAAGUCAUCACUGUGUCUGUAAAUAUAUUCCCGGAAAACCAAAUUUUGGGGCUGUUUUCCCAAUAUUAGAAGGGAAAAAAAUUCUCAAUUCCUCUCAAAACUUUUCCCUUAAGAUUUCCUAUUUUUCAAAUCCAUCACAUUAAACAGAUAGAUAUAUCAGCAUCUAAAAAUCAGUGACUUGACAAGCAGUGCUGGACUGUCAUGCUAGAAAUGUGGAACUUGAAAGCUCAGAGCCUUUCUCUGUAACAGAUAGCAUUUGCAUUCUGCUGCAGUUCAUCAGCCCUAUAGAGAGGCUCAACAGUGUUAAAAGAACAUACGGAAAGAAGGAUGAGAAACCUACUUUAUUCCAGGAGAGGCAUUAGGACUGUUGGGGCUCAAUGGAGCUGGUAAAAGCACAGCUAUACAUAUGAUCACUGGAGAGGCCACACUGAGCACUGGACAGGUGUUCUUGGAACUCUCCCUGGAACAAGAGAAACACAACUUCGAUCUGGAGUUGGAUGCAAAUAUGAAUUUAAACAACUUCAGUGGGAAGAGCCCUUGAGGUACUAACACGCAAGUCCCCAAGUUUACCAAUGGGCUUCAAAGAGGAUUCAAGUUUGGAGUGGUUUCCUUGAAUGGAAUAUAUCUUGAGUCCUUACUGUGGUCUCAUUUAACUAUAUCCUUAGAUUCCACCAUCUGCUUGAGUCUGCUGUUCAGGUCACAAAAAUCCAGUAGAGUUCUGUCAAUCGAGCAACUCCAGUGUAUGCCCUCUGAGAAACUGCCCUCCAUGUGAGCUGUGCAGCACAUAUAUCAUGCUUGACAUUGCCCAGGAGCACAUAAGGAACCAGCCAAAGGAGUCUUUGAAUUAUUGGCAAUUACCUUUUUAUAUGAGAGAGGUCCCAGGGUACUUGAAAAAGGGCAACACAGAGUCUGUCUUUGGAAAGCAUGGGCAUGGAAGACUCCAGGGGAGUGAUCAGGCUGUCUCACUACAACAGUUGAAAAGUUAAUUUGCCAUGUCCAAUCUCUCAUGUUUUAUGAAUUUUGUGGAUGACAAAGUUGGGAAGGGCACCAGUCAUUUUUUGUGAACAGGUAAUCUGAAUUAUCUCCAGAGUAUGGUAAUGUGCUGGUGGGUGAAAAUCAGGGAAGAGAGUCCCAACACACAUUUUCCUCUUCAUCUUCUAAUCACAUUAGAGAAUGUGGACUAAUAUUUUGAUCUUAUCUGCUCAGUUCCUGUAAAUGA